rnacentral:sRNA from 1 species
CACGCUUUCAAGUUACCAGGAUGGGUGUC